UCCACCCGGUUGGCCGGGAACUAAUUUUGUUUUAUUCAUUUAACAUUUUUGCGAGCACAGUUUCGGUUCUUUUACUCCCUGUUGGCGAGCCUUUGUGUGAGGACGGGUGAAGAAUGGAAGUACGGGAGAGGAGGGGAUGUAGGAGAAGUGUAUGUGGGGAGGGGGCGUUGCUGCGCAGGCAAUUACAGGAGCCAGUUCACAUCUGCCUGAGAACCGACUACAUCAUGACGCCUAAAUAAUCAAGAUCAAGGUCAUUCCUGCAAUGCCACAUCAGGGGCUCUUCGCUACACAGGCUGCUGCUUUGAAUCAAAUAUAAAGACUGCUACUGUGUUUGUAAAUGAAAUGCAGCAACAUUGCAUUCUGCAUGUGUGCAUUUGUCUGUCUUAUAAAUUAUUCAAACAGA